ensembl:lncRNA
CUUCCACCCUCUGGCCCCCCAUCCGUGCUGGGGAGCGGAGGGAACAGCACGGCCGGCCUUUGUGGGGCUGCAGCCGCUGGCCGGGGGGAGAGCGGCUCUUCCCAACGCCCCACCGGUCCCGGUUCGGCCCCGUUCGGUGCCGGUUACGCCCCGUGGAGCCGUGGGAUCGAGGCGGAGGGGCUCUCCCAGCCCCAUCCCCACUGGAAGCCGCUCCCGAGGCUGCGCUGCGUUCCGGCAGAGCCGAGGCGUGGAGGGAAGCCCAUGGCACCCGGCCCCCCGGACCCCCCCCCUUCCCAGCCCCAGCCCUGCUGCGCAGGCCCAUAGCACCCCAAGGUCCCCCCCGGGCAGUGCUGGGGAGCACGAGCAGGUAUGGGGUGCAGGGAG